UAGUGUGAGAUAACUCGGGCUAUCUUAUUGGUGAAAACUAAUAGAAAUAAUGUAUACUUAGGAGUAGAGUUACAUGAUCAAAUGUGUAGAUGAAUGGUAACUAAAGUACCAAAAUGUGGUCAACAGAGCAUCAACAAAUGUCCUUGGUGAAGUGGAAUGGAGGGCCCAAAGCAACAGAAAAGUCCAUAAGCCCUUUAAUUGAUUAUUUUAUCUCGAUUGUUAACUCAGUUUAAAAUUUUCGAUUAAAAUACCCUCAUAUUGUGACAAGAAAUUUCUAAUCUAGUUCUGUUAAUUAUUGUUAUAUCUGUGUGAAAUAGCAUAUAGUAGAUCAUUGUUUGAAUUCAAAUUCACAAAUUCAAACCGGCUUUUGUUAACUUUGUCGGACUGAGUUGGUGUGGUCGUAUAAACUUAACAUCACAAAGAAGACAACAACGCUUUACAUCUGCAAUUCAAUUUCUCAUUUCUACACAAGCAGGGUUUGGUGAUCAUCAUGAUAUAGCAACCAAAUGGUUUGGUUAACAAAGAUGUGGAUAUCACUAAUGAGAGUUACCAAACUAAGCUUGUGUGGUCGUAUAAAACAAGAAGACCACAGCACUUUAAGAGUUAUAAAGUCUCAUUGGUAGCUGUUGUUUGGGAAGAUUCCCUACCAACAACUGAUUCUCAAGAGUUAUAAUUCACAUGCUGGAUAAUCUUUUUUGAGUAUUUGUUCUGUAUGAAACUGUUGAAUUCGUUUUGAAAGUUUUCUUAUCAUUGAUGCAUGAAAUCACGUAGCUAAUAACAAUUUCUGAUAAGAAAUAGGUGCUGAUUUACAUUU